rnacentral:rRNA from 1 species
AACGAACGCUGGCGGCAGGCCUAACACAUGCAAGUCGAACGAUAAGCCACCUUCGGGUGGUGGACAGUGGCAGACGGGUGAGUAACGCGUGGGAACGUGCCUUUCGGUUCGGGAUAACCCAGGGAAACUUGGGCUAAUACCGGAUACGCCCUUCGGGGGAAAGAUUCAUUGCCGAAAGAUCGGCCCGCGUCGGAUUAGCUAGUUGGUGGGGUAAUGGCCUACCAAGGCGACGAUCCGUAGCUGGUCUGAGAGGAUGACCAGCCACACUGGGACUGAGACACGGCCCAGACUCCUACGGGAGGCAGCAGUGGGGAAUAUUGGACAAUGGGCGAAAGCCUGAUCCAGCCAUGCCGCGUGGGUGAAGAAGGCCUUAGGGUUGUAAACCCCUUUCAGCGGGGACGAUAAUGACGGUACCCGCAGAAGAAGUCCCGGCUAACUCCGUGCCAGCCGCCGCCGUAA